rnacentral:tRNA from 2 species
GGGAGUAUAGCUCAGUUGGUUUAGAGCAUCUGCCUUACAAGCAGAGGGUCAUAGGUUCGACUCCUAUUACUCCCA